rnacentral:lncRNA from 1 species
GGCAAUGUGACAAUUACUGGAAGAUACCUGUUAGUAACAGCUGCUUUUCCAUGGGAGCCUGAGGAGUGCGUGUUCCAGAUGAAAGGAAGUGGAAUGCAUCUGAGAGAGCAGCCAAGUUUUGAUGGCUUUUUCUUGCUGAUGUUAUUGGCAGGUACCUACAGAGAAGGAUCUGCACUGACUUGGGUUAUCUGGGAAUUGACUGUUGCAGCCAGUUACUGUGCCCAGAGCAGCCAGCUGGAGCUGAGGAAUGCUGCUGCGCAUGAAGAA